AUAUACCUUCAAUAUUUCUGGUGAAUUCUAAUAUAAAUAUUUGAUAAUUAUUUACUUGUACUGAUCUGUUUUAGAAACUAAAAUUAUUAAGUAUUUCCAACCAAUUUUCCUAAAUAAAGUUCCAGCUUAAUAAAUGACAGUUUAAAUAAAUUGAGUAAAUUUCGCGGCUAAAGUGAUCACGUGUGCAGCUCCGCAGGAAAAAAAAAAUCUGCUUUCCUCAGCAGCAACGUCGACUAGCCAUACACCUCACAGCUCCUGUUUCGUAGCUUAAUCGAAGUCACCUGAAGGACGGCUUUCCUCAGCAACGGCAAGACCCGCACUCCUCUCAUAUCGUGAAGUUUAACAAGUUUCGCGGCUCAAACAAGAGGCACCUGUCACUGAAGGACUGCUUUUCUCAGCAACGACGUGAACAGCAUUACUCGAAUUUCCUGGUUCAGCUGAUCUACCCGUCUUCGUACAAGCAGAGUUGGCAGAGGAGGUCAUAAAAAUCUACAUCCUUCGGAACAAUAAUGGGGCAGUCAGCGAUGUAAUCUUGGGAAUCUCAGCAGAGCCUGCUGCCAUCUUUCAGGAGUCACAUUGGAUUUGAGAUCUCCCAAGACCCACAAAUACAGGUCCUUCUCCAAAAAUUAGCAUAUUGUGAUAGUUCAUUAUUUUCCAUAAUGUAAUGAUAAAAAUUUAACUUUCAUAUAUUUUAGAUUCAUUGCACACC